GAUUUCUGGCUUGAAACAAUCAACCGGCCACGGUUUCGUGUGUUAGUGCUUGAUGUUCUGGCCAUCCUUUCAAUCGCUAUGCACCUUUCUUCAUUGAUUGGUGUGUGGUAUUGGAUCUUUUACUUUGAAAAAAUUAGAGUGUUUCAAGCAGGCUUUAUGCUAUGAAUACAUUAGCAUGGAAUAAUAAUUUAGGACUUCGGUUCUAUUUUGUUGGUUUCUAGGACUGAAGUAAUGAUUGAUAGGGAUAGUUGGGGGUGCUAGUAUUCAGCGGCCAGAGGUGAAAUUCUCGGAUUCGCUGAAGACUAACUUAUGCGAAAGCAUU
rnacentral:rRNA from 1 species